UUCAGGACUGCAGGCACCAUCACCUCAGUCCCCAGGGGCCAGGAAUGAAGGAAGGAGAGCCCUUCCGUCUUCUGAACUCUUUGUGGCCCCCGCAUGUUCUGUGCCAUCUCAGCAGAGAAGGCAGGCCUCAGAGGAUAUCAGUUCCCCAAAGACAAUGAAGUAAGAAAUGGACCAGAGGUGCCAGGCAUACAGACAGGCUCCAUGCAGACAAGUGGUGCUCAUCUGAGCCCCCGCCCCCAGAGCCUGGCCUGACAAGCAAAGCACGCCCUGAGGGGAAGCUGCUCCAGCCUCCAUAUCCUUGACCAUCUGCACAAAGUAUAAGAAAGGGAGCGACAUCAAAGGAAAGGGCAGCUGCUGACUCUGCCAGUGCUCGUCUCCCUGCUAGGUGUGAUCACAUGCAGACCAGGUUUAUCUCAGUGAGAGACGGAAAAAGUGAAGCAUCACCAGCUGGACUCAGCCAGUGGGACCAGCAGCCACAGAGGAACAAAGGCCUCGAGGAAAUCAGGGCCUCCCUGCAAUGUGGACAGUCACUGGAGCAAGAGACCAACAGACAUCAGAUUCAGAGAUAAAACAGCCCAGCGCAGGAGCCGGGGUGGGAUGGUACGGCACAGCAGCUGAUGCAGAGCAUAUCAGGGUGAAGGAGCCCUGCCGGGGGAACUGUGGGGCUCACAUUUGACCGGGCUUCUCCUGGGGGCCAGGACACACGGAGGAGAAUGCACUAUGCAGCCAGGGAGAGAGGGUGAACGAUUGCAUUCUCUUGGACUCCAGGGGUUGGUCCCACUCACCCGUCUUUCCCUGGGAAUAGUACAUUCUCUACUUCUGUGUCUGAAGUGGAGCUCAGAGACUGGAGAAGGAGUCCUGUGUAUCCAUUACUGGUCACAGGUGUGUCUAACAACAGGUUUCCCUGCCAGUGGCAUCAAUGCCCAAAAUCUGCCCAUUCAUGGUGCCCAGUAACCAUCAGGUUGAGCAGGAAAAGUGCCAGAGCUUUUCUCCCCUCGGGACACACUGCAAGGAAAUGCUCCUCCACUCUUGGCCACUAGCCAAUAACCAGAAAGUGAGCCCCAAUCUCAGACAAGAAUGUUCUAUGAGUAUCAGAGUCUUUUUACAUUUUGACGAUACAAAACACCAAGUCCUAUAAGUAUGAGUGGAGCGAACUGCACCUAAGCCAGUCCCACACAGGCAUCUGUGGUCAGUGACCCAUGUCAGUGAGGCAGAAACAUUGCCUACCAGCACAUGCUGAGGCCAGCUCGGCCUGCUCACUUGUUUAGAGGACAACUUGGUCAGAGAGCAAACCCCUGGGCUCUGCUGGUGCUGCUUCACUAGAAAUGUGUCACGGCUUCAAACCAAGAAGGACAUUUGAGCAAAACCAUCUGUGUCCUGGACAUGCUUGUCACAGCUGUGCAAAGCCUGAUCAAAGAAAGAAAGGUCCUUGCAUGGGCCUCAGCUUCCCUUCCCUUCUCCAAAGCCCCAUUUGUCCCCUUCCCCUUGCUUGCAAACUACCCCGUGGCCACAGGCCCUUCUUUCUUCUGUGAAUGUUCCCUGCUCUUCCCUUUUGUAAAUUGGCUGCUCCCUGGGGACACCACUUUCCGGCAUUCUUGCCCAGCUGCAGCUGCGCAGCACUCCCACCCACCCCCAGGGUCUCCGUCUCCUGCCUGCAGCCUGUGCAAACUCUCCGUGCCCUGGGCCCCUUGCCCAGCACCCACUUGCCUGCUCCUCUGCCUGCUCCUUGGAGCCCAGCCCUGCUCUGCACAGCAGCCGCUGAGAGGCACCGUGGCCCCUGGAAGUCCUCCUUGGCGCUGCACCUCCAAAACCAGGAGCCAAGCACCCCUUCCCUGCCCACUGCCUCUUCAUGAGGCACAGGCACACGACCCUCUCCUCCCAGCUGCUCUGCAGACGUGGCGGGCACGAAACCCCAGUGUCCACCGUUUCAGCAGUGCUGGGAGCAGUCGCCCAACCUCCUGGCUCUGAGUCUUUCUGAAUCACGUGUCUGAUAAAACUUU